ACAGCCAUCGAGUUAAAGUGACCGUUGAGCGAAGUGGAAGAGAGAGACGGAGUGCGUUCAACGCGAAACCAUUCUAGAAUGUGUAGUGUACGUCACAUCGGUAAAAAUGAAAUACGGUACCGAGAAUAUCGUGGGGCAAAAAAUAUCCCAGACGCGUCGCUAGACGAAUCAAGUGACCGCCCAUGCAUUUCACGCGACCUUUAUUCCAACUCAACUAGACAGAAAGAGAUGGAUAGAUAAAAAGAGAGGAAGAGAGGGGGAAACAUCGAGAAAAGAGACACAUGCCAUCGUGUCUCGAUGGUGUAAUAUGAGAAAACACGUAUUCGCUGGUCAAGUGAUUUCGAGAAUUAAAAAUACGUUCGAGCUUUCGUAAGGAGGUCGAUAUAUCAAGGACAAGCCGUACCCUGUUUAUUCGACUGCGCUCUAUUAUUGGAUUUGUAUUCCACUGACAAUAGGAUCGAAACGAACCUAAUAGAAUUUACAUCGUAGUCGCCGCUGAUGCGCUGAUGCGUGUACGCCAUCGAGAACGUCACUGUGGUUAGGAGAUUAGAUGCCGAGGGCGCGCUGGACUGAAGAGGAACGGCCGUCCCGCAAAUAAUCUUUGACGUAACAAAUUGAAAAUUGGAUUACCGCGUACCUCACGUCCUGUCGCAAACUGGCUUUACCUACAGGAUGUUAUAUACAUAUUUCAAUAAACUAUUCAAAAUGAUUAUAGGAUAUAGGUUAUCAUUUAAUAAUUAAAUUGUAUAAGGAGAUUAUAAUACAUAUGGACGAUAGGCCACAUUUAAUAGCAAUUAUUAUUUGAAAAAUAUGCAAAAAUGAAUUGCCAAUAUUUAAAUGAAUUCAAUACGACGAAUCAGUACACGAAUAUCACUGGUCAUGGAAUGGCACUCAAUGUCAGCCACGAAAACAUUGUCGACCUUGAAGUCUCGAUAAAUACAGCAAAAAAAAGCAUUGCACUAACCAAACUGUUUGUUCUUUCAGUAGAAAAAACGAUUACUUGUCGGUAUUUCACACUAUCCGAAGGGAGAUUUUUGGUUAGCCAUCUAUGUUACACGUUUCAGUGUAUAUAUCAAUUCACACAUGGCGCGACACGGGUGGACCAUAAAUCACUACGUGUGUAUAUAAAUUCCUAAGCUCGCGCGACCGCGGCUGAUUUGCGUCAAUCAACGUCAAUGAAAAAUGAGGUGAUCCACAGCUAAAAUUGUGGAACCUACGUGACGCUCGAUUUCUCGAUUAAAAUUCGAUUCAGAUGUAAUGCAUGCGUUGAUAAUUGGUUGUUAUGCAAACCUCGAGAUGCAAGAUGGCAGCAGGAGAAGGUAUUGAGUUUCGAGCUUCGAGUCUCGACUCGGGUCUGAUAAUAAAUAGAGACUGCAGGUUUUUAUGCAUUUAUAGAAAAUUUGAAGAUACAAAAGUGCACAGAACGCGCAUAAUAUGAAAAGAUAUAUGAAGUAUCCAAAGUAUAGUGCUUUCUACAAUAUUUAGUAGACAAAACGAUUUUCUACGUAGGUUCUACAUAUUUUCUGAAUUACGUAUAUUGUUUAUAAUGUGAAUUUGUAUAAAAAUCUGCGGUCUACUAAUAAGGAAUUGAGAUAAAUGUGAGACAUGCACGAGAUUCGUAUCGAAAUCAUGUUUCGCGCGAACGAGGAACGGGUGUUGUCGUACGAAAUAAAAAGUUUGACGGUGAAGGGACUAUUACUCGAGACUCUUGACACGCGAGAGCGCGCGUCCAUCUCGACGAUACAAUGUAUCGUCACUCGUCACAGUUUUUCUACUACCACGCCUCUCUUCCCCGUACAAGGGCAAACUACUCGCUUUACGAAGGUGGUAGGCCUUGGUCUAACCACGGGUCGACGAAUAGCAGCGCCCCUACCCAAACGAUAGCGAAUCGUCGGAUGCACACGUCCGCUAAAAGUCAGCAACGCCGGAGGCAGUCGGACGCGAUACUCGCGAUUUACCUACUUUAAAAGCGUACAUCGGCUCGCUAAAUUUCUUUACUGCACAACGGCCACGUUGUCCUCGUGGCUGCGGCCAAUUAGCCGCGAAACGUGUAGCGAGAAUCGCGAUAACCAUAUAUCUAAAGCAUGAUGGACACGGAAGGUUUCAAUGAACGACUUAAUUUAUACAAAUACAUCGUCUGCAAAUUGAGUAACUUACGUUCGAUAACUUACGUUCACAAAGAAUUGAUACGAUUUAAAAUAAGGAAAUGAGGAAGAUGAUUACCUUGAUUAAUUAAAAUAAGGAGAUUAGCGACACAGAGGCGUGAAUAACAUCAUAAAGGAUAUAACCUAACAAACACGAAGAUGGUACCCUGCUGGGGAUAGCCACCCACAUGAUAAUCAAACAGCCAAAAAAUUCUACCAAAUGUCCAAAUCGGACAAAUUGUGAAUGUAAACAAUAAAAAAAAAAAACAGAAUAACGUCAAGUUAUGUCCAAGAGAUAUAUUUUCUCCCUGUUACCCAGCUAUACCGAAAGGAAGCCCAACAGGAAAUUUGAAAGGAAGAUUUAUGCAUCUCUACUGACCAUGCAACCUUGUGUAGGUGUUGAAGGACCAACCUUUUCACAGUUUAUUUUUCAAACAGUUUUCCUAACACCUAAUCGCACUAAAGUUUGCACUAAGAUCCAAACACAAAGAGGUAAGGCGCCUGCUACCGAAUCGCGUGUCCAAAAACGGCUGGAAAUCCAUACAGAAAUUAUCAGGGUCGACAGGUAGUCGUGUACUUAGCCUUGCGGCCACCAGAAAUCAAUCAAGGCAGGUCAGGCAGGUACAUACAGGUGUGUAACAGCUGAGUCCCCAAGGGUCUCGGAAUUUCCCCUUUUAUUCUACCAAUUGGGACCGACAACAGUAUUUACAGCUAGUUCAGUUUUAUUUCCUUCUCUUCUAAACGGUCGAAACGUGCUUCCAAGACAUUUUCUUCUACCGCCUGCAUCCAUACAAUUACUUUGUACUGUUAUCUUAAUUGCGUCUGAGAUUUAAAGGAAACUAAACCUAAAGACAAACUCUAUUUAUGGUCGAAGCUUCCUGUACGGAUUUUCUCCGCAAUACGUUGCCCUUCGGCGACGGAAAUCGACUGGAUUUUCGUGGAAGACAAACUCUAUUACCAUGUACUUCACGCGCAUAUCGCUAGUAUCGCAAAAUCAAUUGGAAGAGUACGCGAAAUCCCCUAUGAUUCAUAUCUAAAUAAACAUAUUAAGAGGAAUAAAAUCACUAUGGCUAUAAUAAACAACAGAGUAUAUAAGUAUAGAUUAUGGAACAUUUAAAUUUGGAAAAAGGAACAGUUGACGAGUAAUUUCCAAAAUGGAAUACAUAGCAUAUUUAUAUUGCUUCAAUAAGUUCCAAUGGUGACAAAAGAAGAUAUAAUAAUCCAAUAUUCUUUAUAAAAAUUACUACAUUUCUGAACAUACGAUCCUUUUGUUACACUCGCAAUUCGAUUAAAAUCGAAUCCUUCAGCGAAUGCGCGCGCAGUAACAUUCCAUUACAAUCGAAUAUCGCAACGUAGAGGUUAAGUCAGAUUUAUACAAAACCAAGGCGCCUAAGAUACACACUAUGCUGGUGGUAAUGAUCGGUUAAUUUGCUCCACGACGAGAUAUCGUUGCUCCCGUUUUUAUUGUUGUCACGAUAACCGAAUAAAGUGCUGCAAUGUGAUGUCACUGGCGAUAAAGCGGUAUCUAGAGGUACUCGAUUGUCUCGUUCCCGUCGCCUCGGUUCUUGCAAUACAUAAAAUCGACGGUUUUCGCGUUCUAUUUAGACCAAGCGAUGAAAUACAGUUUUCGAGGUGGCGGAUUCUAUACGGUGUACGGGCAACGUAGCUAGAUAAGGCAGUAGCCGCGGAACAGGUACGAAACGAGAGUAACAGAGCCUUUAGAAGGUACGACAAGGAUAGAAACAGGACAGAAAGAGAGGCUGCAGACGAUACUGGACACUGCUAGAUCCUUAUAAAGGAGAAGAACGAACCACUUAGAUCUCUCUUUGCGACGAUCCACGGGCUAACGCGACUGGAUACCAAGUUUCGUGUUGUAGAUCGCGUUAAGCUGUGUACAGAACGGCGGAAUGAAAGUUGUCCGACUAUGCUUGUCCAUAUCACUUCAUGACAUUUAUUUUUAAACGAAAUAUAUGAAUCUGAAAUCAUAUUUUUAAUAAACAAACACAAUGAUUUUUAUUUCUGUAAUUUUAUAAAUAUCAUAUAUAGUAAUUUUACUGAUAAUAUUUAGACACAAGAUAAAGAUAUAGAUGAAAAUCAACUUUUAUUUUUAAUAAUUAGGGAUAACACCUUCUCUAUUAUUCUUGUAGAUAUUCUAUAUCAUUUUCAUAAGAAAAUUUAGAAUGUUGUAAUAAUAUUUACAAAUAAAAUAUUGUUUUAGGAAAAAGAGAUUAUGAAUCAUUAGCGUUACUCGUUUUUAGAAUCUGAUUGCCUCUAGAACUUGCUGAUAUAGAACUGACGUAGGAAGUCUAUUUAAUGUGUAUACAUACUGGCUUUGUUUCCUUAGAACACUUCAAGAGUCUCCAUAGUGUAGCUUAGCUUAUUUGACCGUCGUAUUCAUAGCAUAAGUUUCUCAACUUUUGAUUAUUACGAAAUUAACAAGACUAUUGCUAUUUUUGUACAGACUAUAAUACGCACGAUUAAUUCAAAAAUAUUAUAUGGAUAUCUUAUAAAAUAUUUUUUUACAUAUUGUGCAAAAUGAAUUAUAAAUGCAGUAUAUAGAAACAUUUCGAGCUCACCAAGUAAAAAUAACCAAGAUUAUGUAUUGCAACAAAGAUUUAGCUUCUUUUAUCACGGAAAGACAAAGUGAGAACUUUGGAAUUGUCCCUGUCGGUUUAUUAAAAAUUAACACCACGUAUUCACGAGGCGACCUUGUUCUACGUAGAUGCUCCCAGCGAAGGCUCGAGAGAUACGCUUUACAAUCGAAACUGCAAAAACAUUGCGCAAUUAUGCGACAAACACCACGUAAUAACAAAUAGAAUUCCGCAAUUGAGUGUGAUGUUUCCAAUGGUGUG